GACACCAUUCCACAUGAGGAAAAAACCCAGACAAGUUAUGGGAGCCCCAAAACACCUACCCAAUGGGCCCAAGAAAUAUAAAAAUACCUUCAAGGGCUUCAGCAUAGGAAAGUCACAUCAUAAGGGUGCUGGGCCCAGCAAUAUGAAAUAUGCCAUAAUUUUCUCUUUAUGAAGAAUUCAGGCAGAAGAGUAAAAUCAUCUGGGUGAUGGGCCCUGCAAUAGGUCAAAAUUCCUUUUUUGUGGGCAUGGUUUGGGAAAAAGAGGAGAGCCACAUAUCCUGAGUGCUGGGCUCAGCUAUGUGUCAAAAUCCUCCUAUUGUGAAGGCCCAGGCAGAAAAACAGAGUCACAUCACUUAGGUCAUGGGCUCAGAGAUAUGCCCCAAUGUCCCCACCAGGAAGGGCUCUGGCAGAUGAAGAGAGUCAUAUCACCUAGGUGCUUCCCUAGGAAUAUGUCGCAAUGAAACAUGUUGGGCAGAAACCAGGCAGAAGAGCCACAUCACUCGGGAGCUGGGUCCUGAGAUAUGUCACAAGGAUCUCUUAGGACAACACCCAGGUCUUGUUACAUUGAAGCACUUCAAGACUCCCUUUUUAAAAGUGGAGCCCUUUCUUCCUGGACACUAUGAAGUUUUUGAUUUAAAGCCAAAUGACCAAGUUGCAUCCGUGGUAAUGGUUAAAUAUCAUCACUGUCGGGAUGAACCCCCACACGUGCUCUAUUACAAUGUGGAGAAACUCUUUCCAGAGGGCUUGGACUCCAGCUUGUUGCUGCUACCCUGUUGAAGCAGCUCAAAGAGGCCCAAGUACAGUAUCCUCUCCAGACAUUUGUAAUUGGCAUGGAAGACAGCCCUGAUUUACUGGCUGCUAGAAAGGUGGCAAAUCAUAUUGGAAGUGAACAUCAUGAAGUUCUCUUUAACUCUGAGGAAGGCUUUCAGGCUCUGGAUGAAGUCAUAUUUUCCUUGGAAACUUACAACAUUACAACAGCUGAUGCUUCAGUAAGUAAGGAUUAGAGAGGGAGAAAUAAAAACUGCUUUAUGGGCCAAAAGCAAAACUCAUGGUGCUUUUGUUUGUGAAAUGGGCUCCUUCUGAAAAAGCCAAGGAGGAGAGUGAGAGGCUUCUGAGGGAACUCUAUUUGUUUGAUGUUCUCCAUGCAGAUCAAACUACUGCUGCCCACAGAAUGAGAUAGAAAAACAUCUCCUGAGAGAGACAUUUGAGGACUCCAAUCUGAUACUCAAAGAGAUUCUCUGGUGACCAAAAGAAGUCUUCAGUGAUGGAAUAACUUCAGUUAAGAAUUCCUGGUUUAAGAUUUUACAGAAAUAUGUUGAACAUCAGGUUGAUGAUGCAAUGAUGGCAAAUGCAGCCCAGAAAUUUCCCUUCAAUACUCCUAAAACCAAAGGAUACUACUACCAUCAAAUCCUUGAACACCAUUUCCCAGGCCAGGCUGACUGGCUGAGCCAUUACUGGGUGCCCAAGUGGAUCGAUGCCACUGACCCUUCUGCCCACACACUGACCCACUACAAGUCAGCUGCCAAAGCUUAGGUGCUCUUUAUGCUGUAAUAUGAAAGCAAAUAUUUCUUCUUAUUGUAUGGGGACUAUGGGUAGAUAGGGGAACAAUGAAAGUCAACUCAGGCUAACUUGAAUGUGAAAAAAAUAAAAGUCCUAAAUCUAAAA
ensembl:lncRNA ASNSP1 ASNS pseudogene 1